UCUUCUUUUAGCUUCGUUUUUUAACCAAACGUCGAACUCUGUUUAUAGUAACUUUAAGCUGGUUUACGCUUGUGAAAAAAGUGGUCUCUGUACCUUAUAGAUCUAUGUUUUCUUGAUUGCCACUGAUUGUUUUAGAGUCUAGAAUUGAAUGAUUUUGUCUCAUUAAUUUUUUUUUCUAAAUUUCUUGAUUUUCCUAUAAAAUCUGGUUGUUCUCUUACAUGAAAUUGUGCAAGUGACGAUAAAGAUAGACAGGGACAUCAGUACCCAUUGGAGGAUGAUGAGUUGUCUAAAAUGGGAAUCUCUCUGAUGCACAAAACUAAUUGGUUUUAUUUCAUGCAUAAGUUUCUUUUUCAUGAUUUGAUAAAAUUUAUGCAAAAUUUUAGAUGAAAGGUUUCUAAGGAGUAUUUUGAUGUAUGCUUAAUCCAUUAAUCCUUGUUUUAAGCUUGAAAGACUCAAGUUUGUCUAUGAUGCAUCUUAAUGCACGUAUUAUCAGAUCAAAUAAUGAUGAUAUCUCAUUAUUGUCACUACCUCUGAGACAAACAAUAUGUCAGAUAUAUUACUACUAAUUCCUCACUUUGCAAGUCUAGAUUUUUGGGUUUUGAAUUGUAGUUUCAACGAAGGGAUUUUGCACUUCAUUGAAUAUGGAUUUCGUUUGUUCUCUUGAAAUGCCUAAUGGUUCAGCGGAGUUGUCUUUUGUGGUUGAAAUGCCUAAUGAUUAUUAUAAAGAACGGAGAUUUGAAUGGUGCUUCUUGUUGCAGCUUGAUGAUUUAUUGAGCUCCAAAGGGCAUUGCAUGUGAUAAACAAUUUUAUAUCAAAUAUGAAGGCAUAAAUACAAGCUGUUUUUCUUUAUGUAUCAUGUUACAAUUACAAUUUAUACUAUUAAAGAACUCAGUGAUCGAAUUAGUUGCAUUGGGUUAAGCAAUUAAUUAAUCAAUCUAUAUUAAGUAGGAAGUAAUACCCUAACUUGGUUUUCCUUUGGCGCCCUCCACCUUGUCCAUCCAUCCCAUUCUUCUAUAACUCUAGUAAACACUUAACUCUGUUAAACAAUUGUAUGCAUAUUUCACAAAAUUUAACCGAGUUUGUAGUUGAUAAUUUUUUACGUUUAUGUUUUUGUUUAUUCUAUUUUUUGAUGAAUUGUUUAUGCUAAUUUGUUAUGCCUAUGAUGGUAUUAAAUAUACUUUGAGAGAUGUUUUUCUCUUUGAAAUAAUUCUAAUCUGAGGCAAAAAAAGAAAUCCGAAUUCUUGUGUGCUUGAUUUUACAUUUGGGUUUUGUUAUUGAUUCUGCUUAUAUGUAUGGAUGUUCAUAUGUAACUACCAAAAUCAGUAAGCCCUUCGUGCCACUGAUUUGGAGUCUGGAAUUGUAGUUUUUUUAAUUUCAGUAAUUGUAUGUCUUGAUUUUCCAUUCAAACCAUGUUGGUUUCUCUUAGAAAUUUAUGCAAGUGACGAUAAAAAUAGACAGGGACAUCAGCACCCAUUGGAGGAUGAUGAGUUGUCUAAAAUGGGAAUCUCUCUGAUGCACAAAACUAAUUGGUUUUAUUUCAUGCAUGAGUUUCUUUUUCAUGAUUUCAUAAGUUUUAUACAAAAUAUUAGAUGAACGGUUUUGAAGGUGUGUUUUUUUAUAUGUUUAAUCCAUCAAUCAUUGUUUUAAGCUUGAAAGACUCAGGUUUGUCAACGAUGCAUCUUAAUGCACGUACUAUCAGAUCAAAUAAUGAUGAUAUCUGAUAAUUGUCACUACCUCUGAGACAGACCGUAUGAUGUCUAUCGAAUUUUGCUUUAAUUUGGAUUGUUUCAUAAGCAAAGUUAAUACUUAAUGAUUGUCACUUCUUUAUGUUGAUGGUGUUAAAUGUACUUUUGGUUGAAUUCAGUAGCAGUCUUUGAGGCUUUUCUACUAUUUGUUUCUCACUUACACUUGUGUGGAGUAGGGUUAUAUACCUAUCCUCAUUCUGGUAAUCAUUGUGCUGGCAUGUUCAAUUGGUGUAGCUGCUUCUUUGCCGUCCUAUAAUAUCUACAUAUUUUGCUGAAGUUCAUCUUAGAUUAUAAGAAUCAAUUGCCAGUGAGGAUAUCUAUAACAAAUACCAUCUUUCGGGACUGAAUGGCUCUUUGAGCUUUGAUGUCCGUCUGCAAAUCUGAGGCAUUUGUGCUGCGUAUAAUGCUAGCAUGUAGGGUAAUAGAAAACCAUAAAUAGUUUAGCAUUUUGUUGGGAAACGUAUUAUGUUUAAUAUAUUCAUAUUAAUUAUUGUUUCAUCAAA